AUCAAAAGCACAAAAUUUACAUUAGAUAUACCGGUACUUCGUGUGUAAAAUUCUAGUAUUCUUUGUAACCCCAAAACUUUGUUGCUGCGUCUCACACGUGGUGUCGCGACCCCAGUUUGGAAAGCUCUGCGCUAAAUCGAGUUCUUAUCAAUUGUCUCCAUCGGUACGCACUUGGCUUGAGAAACUAAAUAUGAUCUUCACUUGUAACCCGAUUAUAUUGCUUUGUAUGUCAUGUCUCCAACGUUUGGUUUGGAAGGAGAAAUUAGUGUAAACUGGACAUUCAGACAAUUACAAGUAAUAUCAGGCAAAGGCCCACUGUUAUCUGCAUUGUUUAUGUUUUGUGAUCACGCGUCAGAAGCGUGAUGGGCUUGUGGCGAUCCAGGGUUGACCUGGAGUAACGGGACCAAUUAAAAACGUUUGGUUACAAAUCAUUAUUGUUUUCGGUCUUUUUCGCGCGGGAAGCUACAUGCGACAACGCUUCAGUAGCAAUUGUACAAGGUGGGGUGCGGUCGAUUUUGUCGUAGGCUUGUUCCAGAAUCUUACACCAACUCUUUAGUAAGCUGUAUCUUCGGACUAAUAUUCAGCUUCCUAGAACACUGCUUGAAAGUUGGCAAGACAGUACAUCAUUUCAUCAGAAGAAAUUUGUCAUUGUCAUUUCUCUGGUAUUUAUCACUGAUUGAGAUGGAAGCCUAUCGAGGCUGAAGAGCAAAGCAAGCAUGUUUGUAAUGGUUCAAUCUUUACGGUGAGAUCUGGGAGUUAAUUCCUUGACAUAUUCGAUGGAUACUCUUGUUGGUCUUGUUUCUGUUGCACUCUUUGAAACAAUUGCACUUGCUGGGGUCCACAAACUCGAGGACAAGCUUCGAAAAUGACACAGAGAGAAUGAUUCAUUCAAACCUGGAUUGUAUUGGAAAAUAUCAUGAAAUAUGCCUGCCCAAAUAUUAUGGUCGUUAUCCUGAUUGCAAGCUCCCGUGGACAUCUUUCUAGCUACUACGCUUGGAACAAAGACACUGGCUCGAAAGACGAGUUAACUUUAUUAUUGUAACAUUGAUACAAAGCUUGAAGUUCUAUGUUUCGUUAUUUGCGGGUCUUGUAAGUUUUGGAAUUUUCAACCCGGAAUGGAUUGGU